GGACUACAGGGGUAUCUAAUCCUGUUUGCUCCCCACGCUUUCGCGCCUCAGCGUCAGUACCGGACCAGAGAGCCGCCUUCGCCACUGGUGUUCUUCCCAAUAUCUACGAAUUUCACCUCUACACUGGGAAUUCCACUCUCCUCUUCCGGUCUCAAGCCAUGCAGUCGCAAAGGCCGUUCCGAGGUUGAGCCCCGGGCUUUCACCCCUGACUUGCAUAGCCGCCCGCGCGCGCUUUACGCCCAGUAAUUCCGAACAACGCUAGCCUCCUCCGUCUUACCGCGGCUGCUGGCAC
rnacentral:rRNA from 1 species